rnacentral:misc_RNA from 1 species
ACAUCCUUCAACCUUUCUUGGUUUCUCGAUCGAGAAAGGCUUGGACUUUGGAAUUGCUGGCCUCCCUUGAAGCCAGCUCCUCCUAAAUGGAUUAGUGGGGUCCGCUUUGCCGAUCCUUGACGUGAUAAGAUGUUUCUACGUCUUGGGUUUUGCACUGUUGCCCUGCUUCUAAUCGUCUUGCAUUCAGGACAGAGUCAUGAA